UACGUAGGGUGCAAGCGUUACUCGGAAUUACUGGGCGUAAAGCGUGCGUAGGUGGUUUGUUAAGUCUGAUGUGAAAGCCCUGGGCUCAACCUGGGAACUGCAUUGGAUACUGGCAAGCUAGAGUGCGGUAGAGGGUGGUGGAAUUCCCGGUGUAGCAGUGAAAUGCGUAGAGAUCGGGAGGAACACCUGUGGCGAAGGCGACCGCCUGGACCAGCACUGACACUGAGGCACGAAAGCGUGGGGAGCAAACAGG
rnacentral:rRNA from 1 species